AAAUGUACAUAUUUCCUAUUAUUAAUAUGUUAAUAAAAACUAUAUAAUUUGCAAGUUAGAUUGAUAGUUGAAGUAUGGAAAAAUGACAACUAAGGUAUCUUUCUUCGUAGUUUUCAUAGAAAACUAAAGUGUUUGUCGAUAAUUCGAUAAAUCAUAUCCGUCUAAAUUCCUAUAUAGAUAAUUUUGUAUUGUGAUAAAUGUAAAUACAAUUUGUGCGUGAGGAACAGAGAGAGGAGGAGAGGGAGAGAGAGAGAGAGAGAGAGGGAAAGAGAGAGAAAAUGUGUGUUUACGCGUAUGUCUUUGAAAGAAAGAGAGGGAAUGGAAUUGUAUGAAAUCAAAUUAAAGGAACUUCGCUUACGGUCAUGUUGGUACACACUGUGCGUAGUUGCCAUAUUUAAACUGUUAAUACAAGUUCAUGAGUGAUCAAGCAAGUACGUGGACAUGUAUGGAAGCAUUCACAUGCAAUAUUCACGAGCAUUCACAUGUGUCAAUAAGUAUAUGUAUAUAUGUAAAAAUGUAUGUAUAUACACUUACAGAUUACACAUAUAUGAACAUCAAAAAUUUUCAAACAUUUAGUAUUUACCUUGCUGAUAAAUUCUGCUAACUUCAGAACUAUUACAUUGUUGCCGGGUGACAAUGGUGUCAUACGCGGUAAAUCAUCUGUUUGAAGCAUGUCUCUAUUUACUUUUUAAUCUUAAAACGUAUAUUGUUUUAAAAGAAAUCACUUGAACACUAGGAAACACAGGGUGGAGACUCUCUACUGGUAAUUACCCGCAUGGAAGUAAAAUACAUUACGUCACUUAAUUUCGAAAAGCACUCUGCCACUGUAAUAAAUCCUUCUUCGAAGAUAUGUUGCGAACUUUCGUAUUUUAAGCCACGUUUCAGUUAAAACUCAAUGACAAGUAUUUCUGUAACAAAAUUUUCCUUCUCGCAAUGAUGCAGUUAUUA